AGUGAACGCUGGCGGUAGGCCUAACACAUGCAAGUCGAACGGCAGCACAGUAAGAGCUUGCUCUUACGGGUGGCGAGUGGCGGACGGGUGAGGAAUACAUCGGAAUCUACUUUUUCGUGGGGGUUAACGUAGGGAAACUUACGCUAAUACCGCAUACGACCUACGGGUGAAAGCAGGGGAUAUUCGGACCUUGCGCGGUUGAAUGAGCCGAUGUUGGUGUUGCUAGUUGGGGGGGUAAAGGCCCACCCAGGGGACGAUCCGUGGCUGGUCUGAGAGGAUGAUAAGCCACACUGGAACUGAGACACGGUCCAGACUACUACGGGAGGCAGCAGUGGGGAAUAGUGGACAAUGGUCGCAAGCCUGAUCCAGCCAGACCGAGUGUGUGAAGAAGGCCUUCGGGUUGUAAAGCCCUUUUGUUGGGAAAGAAAAGCAGCAGGUUAAUACCCCGCUGUUCUGACGGUACCCAAAAAAUAAGCACCGGCUAACUUCGUG
rnacentral:rRNA from 1 species